rnacentral:lncRNA from 1 species
CAAACUCCAACCAUAUCCUUUCCGUAGAAACAAAGAAAAACCUAUCUAAUCUUGCGGUGAUGGCAACCCAGCAGCCGCAAAUCCUAGAUUCGCCACCAGCUAAAAGAGACAGCGCCCUCUGCCUCGCCACCUUAAACCUCUAGCCCUCGACGGCGGCGGGAACAGCAAACCUGUGGAGUUGUCGGCACCCGUCUCAAAAGGCGCCACGUCCUUGCAGAGUAGCUGCAGUCCUGCAGGUUCAGCGCGCCUUUCCUCGAGCGGCACACAUGACUGACAUCUUGACGCAAAUGGCAAGCAACGUCUGCUGGAACAGCUCUAGCAGGAGGCAAAAAACGACGUUCUUCUUCGUCGUGGGAUCCUAAACAGUAGUCUGGCAUGAAGCUGUGACAUGCUCAUGUAUGUGCCCUGCAACUAAGAGCAGCGACACUCCUAAGGGGAUGAAAUCGAACAAAAGGUACUCCUUCCAGUACAACACACAAACCUAUCCUAGCUCAAAUCUUGAUCCGUUCAUGAUAGGGUGGUGGCCCAGAUGUUCACCUUCUUAAAACCAUUUUAUUUUUGGGUAACAGCCUCCUUUGUGUCCACUCAGCGGAGAAGCAUCUAUCAUGAAUUUCCUGCACUACAUAUUUUACCCAAGUAUAUAAUAUAUCUCUAAUACUACCCUAUAAGAAAUUUUCGUGCUAUUUCUACAAUUUUGUAAACCGGAUUUGUGGCAAGUGCAUUGAUUAUGUAAUUAGUAAUCCUGGUUCUAGGCUAGACUAAUCUUUAGAUCUUCCAUCAAUCUUAAUUACAACUGAAUAAGGGUCUUUAUCACAUACUCCCUCCGUUUCUAAAUAUAAGUUUUUUUAGAGAUUUCACUAGAGGGCUACAUACGAAGCAAAAUGAAUGAAUCUAUACUCUAAAAUAUGUCUAUAUGCAUCCGUAUGUAGUCUUUUUAAUGAAACCUCUUAAAAGACUUAUAUUUAGGAACGGAGGGAGUAGUAUAUAGUACGCACUGGGAAAUCAAGAUUUAUGGAAUCACUGGCCGCAGAUAUAUAUGAUGGUUGAUAACAUACUUUAGGGUAUCCUGCCCAUUCUGCCAUAUUUUAUAUACUCAACUAAUAUAUUAACACUUGAUCUGGUAUAGAAAACAAACUUUGAUAUUCUGUUCUUACAUACACAUACUUCUGCAUCAAGUAUUUAGCAUUUAACAUGAUUCAAUUUCUAGCCCUUAUAGAUUAGUAAUUUGAUGGGUUAACUAGAAAUGUUUUAGGCUUUUAGUAUAUUUUCGGUUAUAUAUGCUCAUGGACUUUGCACACGAUUCACACAACGAAAAACUGCCUCAAGCAUUACUUUUUACGUGCAGGAAGCAUUCUAUAAUAAUUUCUAUUAUGGACAAGAUCAAUUAGCUGAAUCGAUGUACACUGUAUGGCAAGCGAACAAGCACACUAAAUAAGAGCAGGUAUACUAAUUCCAAGCUACCUUUUACAAAUGCAUUUCACUGGAGUAUGUUAAGGUCAGCUUUUUCUAGCGUCAGAACGUUAUCUUGGAUUGAAAUGUCAGUUUGCAAUUUUUUACCUUUUUGUAUAGUUCUGAUGACUAAAUUUAGCAAAUUCAACUUGUGGUGAGUUCUAUCAGGUAAGCUCCUAUCUCAUGAUGCAACAUUGAGCUAUCAAUCAAGUCCCACUUUUUUAUUCAUUGUUUACUUUUGCUUUUCGCCCAACCAGAUAACCAUGGUGUGUAUCAUUUUAUGUUGUUCUUAAAAGGAAG